GUGGGGAAUUUUGGACAAUGGGCGCAAGCCUGAUCCAGCAAUGCCGCGUGCAGGAAGAAGGCCUUCGGGUUGUAAACUGCUUUUGUAUGGAACGAAACGGUCCGGGUUAAUACCCUGGGCUAAUGACGGUACCGUAAGAAUAAGCACCGGCUAACUACGUGCCAGCAGCCGCGGUAAUACGUAGGGUGCAAGCGUUAAUCGGAAUUACUGGGCGUAAAGCGUGCGCAGGCGGUUUUGUAAGACAGGCGUGAAAUCCCCGGGCUCAACCUGGGAAUUGCGCUUGUGACUGCAAGGCUGGAGUGCGGCAGAGGGGGAUGGAAUUCCGCGUGUAGCAGUGAAAUGCGUAGAUAUGCGGAGGAACACCGAUGGCGAAGGCAAUCCCCUGGGCCUGCACUGACGCUCAUGCACGAAAGCGUGGGGAGCAAACAGGAUUAGAUACCCUAGUAGUCC
rnacentral:rRNA from 1 species